AACGAACGCUGGCGGCAUGCCUAACACAUGCAAGUCGAACGAGAUCUUCGGGUCUAGUGGCGCACGGGUGCGUAACGCGUGGGAAUCUGCCCUUUGGUUCGGAAUAACAGUUGGAAACGACUGCUAAUACCGGAUGAUGACGAAAGUCCAAAGAUUUAUCGCCAGAGGAUGAGCCCGCGCAGGAUUAGCUAGUUGGUGUGGUAAAGGCGCACCAAGGCGACGAUCCUUAGCUGGUCUGAGAGGAGGAUCAGCCACACUGGGACUGAGACACGGCCCAGACUCCUACGGGAGGCAGCAGUGGGGAAUAUUGGACAAUGGGCGAAAGCCUGAUCCAGCAAUGCCGCGUGAGUGAUGAAGGCCUUAGGGUUGUAAAGCUCUUUUACCCGGGAUGAUAAUGACAGUACCGGGAGAAUAAGCUCCGGCUAACUCCGUGCCAGCCGCCGCAGUAA
rnacentral:rRNA from 1 species